UGAUACGUAGGGUGCGAGCGUUGUCCGGAUUUAUUGGGCGUAAAGAGCUCGUAGGUGGUUGAUCACGUCGGAAGUGAAAACUUGGGGCUUAACCCUGGGCGUGCUUUCGAUACGGGUUGACUUGAGGAAGGUAGGGGAGAAUGGAAUUCCUGGUGGAGCGGUGGAAUGCGCAGAUAUCAGGAGGAACACCAGUGGCGAAGGCGGUUCUCUGGACCUUUCCUGACGCUGAGGAGCGAAAGCGUGGGGAGCAAACAGGCUUAGAUACCCUGGUAGUCCACGCUGUAAACGGUGGGUACUAGGUGUGGGGUCCAUUCCACGGAUUCCGUGCCGUAGCUAACGCAUUAAGUACCCCGCCUGGGGAGUACGGCCGCAAGGCUAAAACUCAAAGGAAUUGACGGGGCCCCGCACAAGCGGCGGAGCAUGCGGAUUAAUUCGAUGCAACGCGAAGAACCUUACCUGGGUUUGACAUGGAUUGGUAACGGUCAGAGAUGGCCGCCCCCCUUGUGGGCCGGUUCACAGGUGGUGCAUGGCUGUCGUCAGCUCGUGUCGUGAGAUGUUGGGUUAAGUCCCGCAACGAGCGCAACCCUCGUCCACUGUUGCCAGCAAUUCGGUUGGGGACUCAGUGGAGACCGCCGGGGUCAACUCGGAGGAAGGUGGGGAUGACGUCAAGUCAUCAUGCCCCUUAUGUCCAGGGCUUCACGCAUGCUACAAUGGCUGGUACAAAGAGUUGCGACACUGUGAGGUGGAGCGAAUCUCAAAAAGCCAGUCUCAGUUCGGAUUGGGGUCUGCAACUCGACCCCAUGAAGUCGGAGUCGCUAGUAAUCGCAGAUCAGCAACGCUGCGGUGAAUACGUUCCCGGGGCUUGUACACACCGCCCGUCAAGUCAUGAAAGUCGGUAACACCCGAAGCCGGUGGCCCAACCUUUUGGGGGGGAGCCGUCGAAGGUGGGACUGGUAAUUAGGACU
rnacentral:rRNA from 1 species